rnacentral:snRNA from 1 species
GUUCUCACUUUGGCAUCAUACAUACUCAAAUUAGAGCAAUAUAGAGAAUAUUGGCAUGGCCCCUGAACAAGGAUAACACACAAAUUCAUGGAACAUUCCAUAUUAAA